AUUGAACGCUGGCGGCAGACUUAACACAUGCAAGUCGAGCGGGGGAAGGUAGCUUGCUACUGGACCUAGCGGCGGACGGGUGAGUAAUGCUUAGGAAUCUGCCUAUUAGUGGGGGACAACAUCUCGAAAGGGAUGCUAACACCGCAUACGUCCUACGGGAGAAAGCAGGGGAUCUUCGGACCUUGCGCUAAUAGAUGAGCCUAAGUCGGAUUAGCUAGUCGGUGGGGUAAAGGCCUACCAAGGCGACGAUCUGUAGCGGGUCUGAGAGGAUGAUCCGCCACACUGGGACUGAGACACGGCCCAGACUCCUACGGGAGGCAGCAGUGGGGAAUAUUGGACAAUGGGGGGAACCCUGAUCCAGCCACGCCGCGUGUGUGAAGAAGGCCUUAUGGUUGUAAAGCACUUUAAGCGAGGAGGAGGCUACUCUAGUUAAUACCUAGGGAUAGUGGACGUUACUCGCAGAAUAAGCACCAGCUAACUCUGUGCCAGCAGCCGCCGUAA
rnacentral:rRNA from 1 species